UGGCGGCGUGCCUAAUACAUGCAAGUCGAACGCUUCUUUCCUCCCGAGUGCUUGCACUCAAUUGGAAAGAGGAGUGGCGGACGGGUGAGUAACACGUGGGUAACCUACCCAUCAGAGGGGGAUAACACUUGGAAACAGGUGCUAAUACCGCAUAACAGUUUAUGCCGCAUGGCAUAAGAGUGAAAGGCGCUUUCGGGUGUCGCUGAUGGAUGGACCCGCGGUGCAUUAGCUAGUUGGUGAGGUAACGGCUCACCAAGGCCACGAUGCAUAGCCGACCUGAGAGGGUGAUCGGCCACACUGGGACUGAGACACGGCCCAGACUCCUACGGGAGGCAGCAGUAGGGAAUCUUCGGCAAUGGACGAAAGUCUGACCGAGCAACGCCGCGUGAGUGAAGAAGGUUUUCGGAUCGUAAAACUCUGUUGUUAGAGAAGAACAAGGACGUUAGUAACUGAACGUCCCCUGACGGUAUCUAACCAGAAAGCCACGGCUAACUACGUGCCAGCAGCCCGCGAGUAAUACGUAGGUGGCAAGCGUUGUCCGGAUUUAUUGGGCGUAAAGCGAGCGCAGGCGGUUAUAUCUUAAGUCUGAUGUGAAAGCCCCCGGCUCAACCGGGGAGGGUCAUUGGAAACUGGGAGACUUGAGUGCAGAAGAGGAGAGUGGAAUUCCAUGUGUAGCGGUGAAAUGCGUAGAUAUAUACUGGAGGAACACCAGUGGCGAAGGCGGCUCUCUGGUCUGUAACUGACGCUGAGGCUCGAAAGCGUGUGGGGAGCAAACAGGAUUAGAUA
rnacentral:rRNA from 1 species